AUGAACGCUAGCGACAGGCUUAACACAUGCAAGUCGAGGGGCAGCGGGGGUAGCAAUACCCGCCGGCGACCGGCGCACGGGUGAGUAACGCGUAUGCAACUUGCCUAUCAGAGGGGGAUAACCCGGCGAAAGUCGGACUAAUACCGCAUGAAGCAGGGGCCCCGCAUGGGGAUAUUUGCUAAAGAUUCAUCGCUGAUAGAUAGGCAUGCGUUCCAUUAGGCAGUUGGCGGGGUAACGGCCCACCAAACCGACGAUGGAUAGGGGUUCUGAGAGGAAGGUCCCCCACAUUGGUACUGAGACACGGACCAAACUCCUACGGGAGGCAGCAGUGAGGAAUAUUGGUCAAUGGCCGAGAGGCUGAACCAGCCAAGUCGCGUGAGGGAUGAAGGUUCUAUGGAUCGUAAACCUCUUUUAUAAGGGAAUAAAGUGCGGGACGUGUCCCGUUUUGUAUGUACCUUAUGAAUAAGGAUCGGCUAACUCCGUGCCAGCAGCCGCGGUAAUACGGAGGAUCCGAGCGUUAUCCGGAUUUAUUGGGUUUAAAGGGUGCGUAGGCGGCCUUUUAAGUCAGCGGUGAAAGUCUGUGGCUCAACCAUAGAAUUGCCGUUGAAACUGGGGGGCUUGAGUAUGUUUGAGGCAGGCGGAAUGCGUGGUGUAGCGGUGAAAUGCAUAGAUAUCACGCAGAACCCCGAUUGCGAAGGCAGCCUGCCAAGCCAUGACUGACGCUGAUGCACGAAAGCGUGGGGAUCAAACAGGAUUAGAUACCCUGGUAGUCCACGCAGUAAACGAUGAUCACUAGCUGUUUGCGAUACACUGUAAGCGGCACAGCGAAAGCGUUAAGUGAUCCACCUGGGGAGUACGCCGGCAACGGUGAAACUCAAAGGAAUUGACGGGGGCCCGCACAAGCGGAGGAACAUGUGGUUUAAUUCGAUGAUACGCGAGGAACCUUACCCGGGUUUGAACGCAUUCGGACCGAGGUGGAAACACCUUUUCUAGCAAUAGCCGUUUGCGAGGUGCUGCAUGGUUGUCGUCAGCUCGUGCCGUGAGGUGUCGGCUUAAGUGCCAUAACGAGCGCAACCCUUGCCACUAGUUACUAACAGGUGAUGCUGAGGACUCUGGUGGGACUGCCAGCGUAAGCUGCGAGGAAGGCGGGGAUGACGUCAAAUCAGCACGGCCCUUACAUCCGGGGCGACACACGUGUUACAAUGGCGUGGACAAAGGGAGGCCACCUGGCGACAGGGAGCGAAUCCCCAAACCACGUCUCAGUUCGGAUCGGAGUCUGCAACCCGACUCCGUGAAGCUGGAUUCGCUAGUAAUCGCGCAUCAGCCAUGGCGCGGUGAAUACGUUCCCGGGCCUUGUACACACCGCCCGUCAAGCCAUGGGAGCCGGGGGUACCUGAAGUCCGUAACCGCGAGGAUCGGCCUAGGGUAAAACUGGUGACUGGGGCU
rnacentral:rRNA from 1 species